rnacentral:rRNA from 1 species
UCUGAACCAGCCAUGCCGCGUGCAGGAUGACGGCUUAUGAGUUGUAAACUGCUUUUGUACGAGGGUAACGCAGAUACGUGUAUCUGUCUGAAAGUAUCGUACGAAUAAGGAUCGGCUAACUCCGUGCCAGCAGCCGCGGUAAUACGGAGGAUUCAAGCGUUAUCCGGAUUUAUUGGGUUUAAAGGGUGCGUAGGCGGUUUGAUAAGUUAGAGGUGAAAUUUCGGGGCUCAACCCUGAACGCGCCUCUAAUACUGUUGAGCUAGAGAGUAGUUGCGGUAGGCGGAAUGUAUGGUGUAG